UUAGGUAUCUUUCAUAUUAUAGGCGGGAUGCCGACGAGUAGGAAAAGAGAAGAAAACGGAGCUAUAAAAACACAAAGGUGGUAAAACUCGCUGAAUUCCUGCUUACUGUUGUAUAGUUUAUUGAAAGGAAGAGCGAGUCGCAUUAACUCUGAGGUUUAGUUAAUCAGCAGGUACUGUAGCUAGUGUACGGCUAUGCUAACUGAACUAGCAUGACGAGAGGAGACUGAGCUAGCGAGGCCACUGCUACAGGUCUGCGCGGCUUCGGCCACUGACUCUCGGCCGCUCCUGGACGUCGCCGCACGUGAAGAGAGACGUGGACGCGUUUCACUGAUCAGGCGUGUCCGUGUCGGGACACGGCGUCACAAAGUCCGAGGAGCCCUGAGUGCUGAGCUCUUUGACGUGGAUUCAUCAUCUGAAGUUGUUCUGAUCCUCCAGCUUGAAGGAUGUCCCAAAGCCUCUUACAUUGCUUAGAGGAUUGACGAGCAAAGAGCGAUGUUCGUAGAGAAAUGGGCAAAGAUGUACAAGACCAUGUUUUGUUGGAGUCUUUUUCUGACACACUCCUUUAUAGGAAACCCUUUUGUGAUAUGUCUGAUCUAAAAUUGCAUCACAACAACGGCAAGAAGCACAAUGUGUACGUCCUAAUACAGAUGAUACCUCGUAUCCAGGAUUGUUUUCUGAGUUUCCUCUGUCUUCCAAUGUUUCUUGCCAUAAAGCAGGUUAUGACUCGU